UACGUAGGGUGCGAGCGUUAAUCGGAAUUACUGGGCGUAAAGCGUGCGCAGGCGGUUCGUUGUGUCGGUGGUGAAAUCCCCGGGCUUAACCUGGGAAUGGCCAUGGAAACUGGCGAACUGGAGUGCGGCAGAGGGGGGUGGAAUUCCGCGUGUAGCAGUGAAAUGCGUAGAGAUGCGGAGGAACACCGAUGGCGAAGGCAGCCCCCUGGGUCAAGAUUGACGCUCAUGCACGAAAGCGUGGGGAGCAAACAGG
rnacentral:rRNA from 1 species